AUAAACGUUUAAAAAAAAUUAAAGAAAGCAAAUGAACUUUCAGGUUGGAAUAAAUUUGGAUAGGUCAGGAUGGGGGUAGGAUGGGGGUGUGUAGGGCAGAAUCAUCCAUCCUGUCCAACUCUAUCACAGUCAAUGGCAUCUACCUUGAGUUCUUGCCUCACUUUCUGUCCACAUCAAUAUUCUUCCAUCCACAUGCCCCAAAUGGACACACAUUCAACUUGGUUCGAUUCAAUGCGUUGUUCUUUAGGAAUAUUCUUUUGGACUGGGAGAGAUGUGGGGUUCAGGUUAAGUCAUCCAAGGUGGAGGUGGGUGAUGUGGAUAGGAAAGCGUUCUCCCCCAUUAAUGUCUUUCCUGUCUCAUGAACAGUUCAUCAUGUCUGGAUCUUUGACCAUCUCAUGUACAAGAAAACAAACAGAAUUUCUGGUGAGUAUCAGUUUCCCUUUUGCUCACUUAAUGAGUUAACAAGAACAGUUGACUCUGACUCUCUACAGGAGGCCAAACCAAAACAAGAUUUGGAUAUUCCAGUCUAUUUCGUUGACUUGCGACUUUUUCUUCAAUCAUCUGUUAAUUCUUUAGAAAAUGAGACAUACACUUAGCUUUUUUAAGAGAAGAAAUUAUCCAGGGGUGCCUGGGUGGCUUAGUUGGCUAAGCGUCUGACUCUUGACAUCAGCUCAGGUCAUGAUCUCAUGGUUUAUGCAUUCAAACCCUGCGUCAGGCUCUGUGUUGACAGUGCAGAGCCUGCUUGGGAUUCUCUCUCUCUCUCUCUCUCUCUCUCUCCCUCCCUCCCUCCCUCCCCCAUUUGCUUUCUAUCUCUCUCUCAAAAUAAAUAAAAAUUAAAAUUAAAAAAAGAGGAGAAAGUAUCCAACUGUCUGAAUUUUAGCCUAGUAAGAAGCAAAAGAAGGGGGUCUUCACAGAUAGAUCCUUGUUUCAAUGGUUGAAGAGACGCAUUUUGGAAGGCUAAGAUAGAGAGGGGUGCACGUUUGUGUUUGUAUCAGGGAGCUUCUAGUUCAGGGUGGACAUAUUGAAAAUCACUCCUACCAGUGAUAUCAGAACAAACAGAACCCCCAUAAUGUUGGCUCCAUGGGCUUUCAUUUCUGGAGGAUCACUUCUUCCCUUCUCUCCCAUGAUGUAGAGUGGCUUGCCAGAAAACUGCUUCAGUAAAACAGGAAAUUGAAUUCCUCAUGAAGGAUCCCUUACCUUAGCCCGUGGAGCCAGGGUGUGCCUCCACCGUACUGCUGAAGAUGUGUCUGGAAAUACAAAGGGCCCUGAGUAUUUCCAUUAAAGGCUCUAUUCUCUUCCAGAUCGAAGUCAGUAUUGGAGCUAACAUUAUCAGCACACUACUUUCAAGCACUGGGAUAAUUCUUCUCUCCGUGAAUUUAGUUGACAUAGUCUUACUUGAAUGCUGGGAGUUACCGGCGUGUUCGUUGGUUAAAUCUUUUAUAACUGUAAGUACUAAUUUGUUGGAUGGUGUCUUCACACGUGAUGUUUGUUUUCAGUUACCUCAGCCCUCAGUGACUAAAAGCCUAUGAUGAAGUUUCUAAACGUUGAAAAGUGAUAGGAAAACAAAUAAAUAUAAACAUGACAUUUGUUUUAAAAAAAAGUGAAACAACCUGAUUUCAGAAUUGCAGAAUUAUGUGUGUGCAUUUCUGUGUGUCAUUUUAAGAACGCGUAUUCUUAUUACUCCAGAUUUUCUCUGAUGAACAUGGGCUGUUCUAAAAAAAAAUGAUAAAAAGACUGCUCACAGAUCAGUGUGCCCAGAGAGGAGGGACCUGAUCUGGAACAUCGAGGACUGGCCUAUGGAUUUCUGGUAGUGAAAAUGAUACAAAAUUUGGGAGCUGGUCUGAGUCAUUUUAAUGUUAAUUUAAAAGAUCAAUGGAGGGGCGCCUGGGUGGCUCAAUCAGUUGAGCAUCUGACUCUUGAUUUCAGCUCAGGUCAUGAUCCCAGGCUCAUGGGAUCGAGCCCUGCAUCGGGCUCUGCACUGACUGUGGAGCCUGCUUGGGAUUCUCUCUUUCUCUCUCUCUCUCUCUCUUCCUCUGCCUCUCUCCCCAUGCUCUCUCUCUAUCUCUCUAAAAUAAAAAAAUUAAAAAAUAAAUAAAAAAAUAAAAGACCAAUGGAAUGUUAGUAAAUCCAUCCUUUCUGUGAGUAAAGUUGAGUCACAUGAUGUGUGUAUGUGUAUGAAUGUGUGUGUGUGUGAGAGAGAGAGAGAGAGGGAGAGAGAGAGAGAAAAGUCCUGGUGAAUUCAGUGUUUGACCAAUGCGUGUGAAAAAAUGGCUGAAAUAGGAGUAACUAACUCUAGAAUGUUAAGGGAGUUCUUUUGCAGAGCUCUGCCAUUUAGAAUUCCUAGAACUCAUAUUUGUUUCUGUAGGAGUUUAUUUAUGGUUGCUCGCUGAGGCAAGGUUUGUGCCAGAUCCAAUAUUGUGUCUCAAUGGAAUGGGCAUAUCUUAGAUAGGAAGUGCAUUGUCCUCAAAAUAUCCACUAACCCUGGCCCCUUGCCCCCCCAGACAACCAGGAUGAGCACAUUGCAGACUAAAGCUGGUUGGGGAAAUCUUAAUUCUUGCCCUUCUCUUCUGUAGAAUAUUGUGAUCCUUCAAAUGAUACUGACUUGUGUGCAGAUUUUUAUUUCGUUCUCACUCUGUGGGCUCACUUAUACCAUGGAUGGCAAGGAGAUCAGCUGGGUGAGUAGCCUUUUUUAUUGAGAAGGUGAGGAAGCAUUUAAAGCAUCACAAAGAAUCAGAUGUGUUAAUAGUUAACUUCAAUCUCUGGUUGUAUAGAGAAUUGGCAAAAACAACAACAGCAAACACCCCCCAAAAACCCUCUUAAUGGCAAGAUGGGAGAUGGGAGGUUAGAGAACAACAGUUACAUGUUACAUUCACCAGCCACUCCAUUUUCGAAAUAUUCCUUUGUACAGAUACUUCAUUCAUAGUCAGUUUCCCUCAUUCACUCACACAUGUAUUUCUUACUCAUCCAUCUAAAAUAUACUGAACAUGUAUUACAUUUACUGUGUUGGGAGAUGGGGAAACAGUGGCUUUUCCCGUAUCUUUAACAAGUGGAUGUCAUAAUAGAUCGAAUAAAUACUUAAGGAAAAAAGUAGCAGCCAAGUAAGAGAUACAAUAGCUCUAGGAACAAGUAAGUGUGAUUUCGAUAUUAAUUCCAUACCUCAUAAUUUUUCAUGGAAUCCCAUCAGUCAUACACACCCCAACACGUCAAUGUGCUCACACACACAGACGUAUUCAUACGUGUAUAUGUAGUCUCCCACAUCACCACAUGUGCGUUCCUCCAUAUUGAUUCUGCAAAGCCCUCGUAAAUGGUUGGCCUUUGCUACAUGCAAAAUGUCAUACUGAUAUUUCUGUUUCCACGUCCCUAGGACAAAAGUCAGGGGGACAUAUCUCAUUGUGUUCACGGAUAGCAUUUUAUUAUUUUUUAUGGAAUGACUGUCUCUCUUGCUACUACUCAAAUCCCUGUAGAUGCUGGCAUGGACUGUUGGCUACAUAAAUACCUGACAAGAUCACCGAAAAAAAAUGUAUUUUACGGUGGUUCCAGACAUGGCUAGAAUUGCCCUAUCUCUGCCUAGGCUGUUGUGAAAACAUUGGCCGGCCAGGGUGUUUCAGCUUUGGCACUGUAGACAUUUUGGAAUGAAUAAUUACGUGUUGAGGGGUGGGGGGGCGGGUAGGAGGAGGGGGCAUGAUCUGUUUAGCAGCAUCCCUGACCUCUAUCUGCUCAAUGUCAAAAAUUCCUCCCACCCCCAAUUUUGGCAACCAAAAUGUCUUCAGACAUUGCUAAAUAUCCCCUGGAGGGUAAAGGUACCACCAGUUGAGGACCAGUGGGCUAUACAGAGCACUGCAGCAAAAAAAAUAAAAUAUCAAAUAAAAAUCACUGAAAAUCUGGUUGAAGUAAUUGUCGAUGUUGUGAUGUCCUAUUUCUAGGCUUCUGCACUAAGUUGCUUGAUCAGAUCACAUUCUGAAGAUCCUUAUCAAGACUUACUGACUCAACCUGAAACUUACGAAGAUUUAGUGCUUCAAGACAUAGACCAGGUUCACUCUCAUCCAUGAGACACCAUCGAAACAUUUUUUACCACACCAGGGCAUCUUGGAUCCAUGAUGGCAACCAAAGACAGAUCUGAUAGGAAUCUUCUACAAAUCCCCUGCUCCCCAUGUCUUUUAUUAUGCACUUUCACAUACACAGACACAAUUGGCACGGAUAUGUGCUUAAUUUCACAGGUGACCAGCAAAUACUAAUAUUAGCAUUCCGUGGCCUAAUAGACCUCUUUUCAUUGGGAUGGUAUUACCAUUUUUGAGCCAAUUUCAGUUCUUAGGCCUCAGAGAGGAAUUUGUUGUUACCCACUUACUCCUUCCUAGAAACUGUACUUCCCUCUGGGUUGACAGUUUAUUCAAAUGAAAAAUCUUUGUGCAAAUAGUUUGGGUGAGUAGUGGCAUACCAUCUGACACUGGGUCCAAUCUAAGUUUCUUUGACUGUUGAAUGUACUAGGUCUCCCUUGCUUGUGUCAAGGUGAACUUGACAAAAUGUAAUGCGA
rnacentral:lncRNA from 1 species